rnacentral:lncRNA from 1 species
CCAUACUAUGAGUCAAGUUAUAGGAUCGAGAUUACAAUUUAGAACAACUCAAUAACAAUUAAAAGCUAUAUCUUGAACUUCAAUCUUAUUCGCAACCGUUGUGCGCUUGUACUUGAAUUCUGUCAUAUAUCAGUUUUUGCUUCGUUUGUCAUUCAUCAAAACCUACAAAAGAGUACACGUUUAGUAUAUUGCAUUGAGAACGUGUUUCUAACAC